CUGGACUGACACUGACACUGAGGUGCGAAAGCGUGGGUAGCAAACAGGAUUAGAUACCCUGGUAGUCCACGCCGUAAACGAUGUCGACUAGCCGUUGGGUCCCUUGAGGACUUUGUGGCGCAGUUAACGCGAUAAGUCGACCGCCUGGGGAGUACGGCCGCAAGGUUAAAACUCAAAUGAAUUGACGGGGGCCCGCACAAGCGGUGGAGCAUGUGGUUUAAUUCGAUGCAACGCGAAGAACCUUACCUACCCUUGACAUCGUGCGAACUUGGUAGAGAUACCUUGGUGCCUUCGGGAGCGCACAGACAGGUGCUGCAUGGCUGUCGUCAGCUCGUGUUGUGAAAUGUUGGGUUAAGUCCCGUAACGAGCGCAACCCUUGUCCCUAUUUGCCAGCGAUUCGGUCGGGAACUCUAGGGAGACUGCCGGUGACAAACCGGAGGAAGGUGGGGACGACGUCAAGUCAUCAUGGCCCUUACGGGUAGGGCUACACACGUGCUACAAUGGCCGGUACAAAGGGUUGCGAAGCCGCGAGGUGGAGCCAAUCCCGAAAAGCCGGUCUCAGUCCGGAUCGGAGUCUGCAACUCGACUCCGUGAAGUCGGAAUCGCUAGUAAUCGUGAAUCAGAAUGUCACGGUGAAUACGUUCCCGGGCCUUGUACACACCGCCCGUCACACCAUGGGAGUGGACUGCACCAGAAGUGGUUAGCUUAAC
rnacentral:rRNA from 1 species